rnacentral:piRNA from 1 species
UAUGUAAAACAAGUGACUUGAAAUGGA